GACGAACGCUGGCGGCGUGCCUAAUACAUGCAAGUAGAACGCUGAAGAGAGGAGCUUGCUCUUCUUGGAUGAGUUGCGAACGGGUGAGUAACGCGUAGGUAACCUGCCUUGUAGCGGGGGAUAACUAUUGGAAACGAUAGCUAAUACCGCAUAACAAUGGAUGACACAUGUCAUUUAUUUGAAAGGGGCAAUUGCUCCACUACAAGAUGGACCUGCGUUGUAUUAGCUAGUAGGUGAGGUAACGGCUCACCUAGGCGACGAUACAUAGCCGACCUGAGAGGGUGAUCGGCCACACUGGGACUGAGACACGGCCCAGACUCCUACGGGAGGCAGCAGUAGGGAAUCUUCGGCAAUGGGGGCAACCCUGACCGAGCAACGCCGCGUGAGUGAAGAAGGUUUUCGGAUCGUAAAGCUCUGUUGUAAGUCAAGAACGAGUGUGAGAGUGGAAAAUUCACACUGUGACGGUAGCUUACCAGAAAGGGACGGCUAACUACGUGCCAGCAGCCGCGGUAAUACGUAGGUCCCGAGCGUUGUCCGGAUUUAUUGGGCGUAAAGCGAGCGCAGGCGGUUUGAUAAGUCUGAAGUUAAAGGCUGUGGCUCAACCAUAGUUCGCUUUGGAAACUGUCAAACUUGAGUGCAGAAGGGGAGAGUGGAAUUCCAUGUGUAGCGGUGAAAUGCGUAGAUAUAUGGAGGAACACCGGUGGCGAAAGCGGCUCUCUGGUCUGUAACUGACGCUGAGGCUCGAAAGCGUGGGGAGCGAACAGGAUUAGAUACCCUGGUAGUCCACGCCGUAAACGAUGAGUGCUAGGUGUUGGAUCCUUUCCGGGAUUCAGUGCCGCAGCUAACGCAUUAAGCACUCCGCCUGGGGAGUACGACCGCAAGGUUGAAACUCAAAGGAAUUGACGGGGGCCCGCACAAGCGGUGGAGCAUGUGGUUUAAUUCGAAGCAGCGCGAAGAACCUUACCAGGUCUUGACAUCCCGAUGCUAUUUCUAGAGAUAGAAAGUUACUUCGGUACAUCGGUGACAGGUGGUGCAUGGUUGUCGUCAGCUCGUGUCGUGAGAUGUUGGGUUAAGUCCCGCAACGAGCGCAACCCCUAUUGUUAGUUGCCAUCAUUCAGUUGGGCACUCUAGCGAGACUGCCGGUAAUAAACCAGAGGAAGGUGGGGAUGACGUCAAAUCAUCAUGCCCCUUAUGACCUGGGCUACACACGUGCUACAAUGGUUGGUACAACGAGUUGCGAGUCGGUGACGGCAAGCUAAUCUCUUAAAGCCAAUCUCAGUUCGGAUUGUAGGCUGCAACUCGCCUACAUGAAGUCGGAAUCGCUAGUAAUCGCGGAUCAGCACGCCGCGGUGAAUACGUUCCCGGGCCU
rnacentral:rRNA from 1 species